rnacentral:rRNA from 1 species
AGAGUUUGAUCCUGGCUCAGGAUGAACGCUAGCUACAGGCUUAACACAUGCAAGUCGAGGGGCAGCGGGAUUGAAGCUUGCUUCAAUUGCCGGCGACCGGCGCACGGGUGAGUAACGCGUAUCCAACCUUCCGUACACUCAGGGAUAGCCUUUCGAAAGAAAGAUUAAUACCUGAUGGUAUGAUGAGAUUGCAUGAUAGCAUCAUUAAAGAUUUAUCGGUGUACGAUGGGGAUGCGUUCCAUUAGGUAGUAGGCGGGGUAACGGCCCACCUAGCCAACGAUGGAUAGGGGUUCUGAGAGGAAGGUCCCCCACAUUGGAACUGAGACACGGUCCAAACUCCUACGGGAGGCAGCAGUGAGGAAUAUUGGUCAAUGGACGAGAGUCUGAACCAGCCAAGUAGCGUGAAGGAUGAAGGUCCUACGGAUUGUAAACUUCUUUUAUAAGGGAAUAAACCCUCCCACGUGUGGGAGCUUGUAUGUACCUUAUGAAUAAGCAUCGGCUAACUCCGUGCCAGCAGCCGCGGUAAUACGGAGGAUGCGAGCGUUAUCCGGAUUUAUUGGGUUUAAAGGGAGCGCAGACGGGUCGUUAAGUCAGCUGUGAAAGUUUGGGGCUCAACCUUAAAAUUGCAGUUGAUACUGGCGUCCUUGAGUGCGGUUGAGGUGUGCGGAAUUCGUGGUGUAGCGGUGAAAUGCUUAGAUAUCACGAAGAACUCCGAUUGCGAAGGCAGCACACUAAUCCGUAACUGACGUUCAUGCUCGAAAGUGUGGGUAUCAAACAGGAUUAGAUACCCUGGUAGUCCACACGGUAAACGAUGGAUACUCGCUGUUGGCGAUAUACUGUCAGCGGCUUAGCGAAAGCGUUAAGUAUCCCACCUGGGGGAGUACGCCGGCAACGGUGAAACUCAAAUGAAUUGACGAA